UAAGUGAAAGCCAAAGAGAGGCACCUAUCUGUUAAUUAGGAGAUUGUAAGGUAGUUUUACUCACUUAG
rnacentral:tRNA from 1 species